GACGAACGCUGGCGGCGUGCUUAACACAUGCGAGUCGAACGGGCCCGCCCCUGUUUUUGGGGGUGGGUUGAGUGGCGAACGGGUGAGUAUCACGUGAGUAACCUGCCCCCUGCUCCUGGAUAACUGCUUGAAAGGGCGGCUAAUACGGGGUGUGCCGGCUGGUCCGCAUGGGCCUGGUCGGGAUAGUUUCAUCUUCGGGUGUUUCGGUGGGGGAUGGGCUCGCGGCCUAUCAGCUUGUUGGUGGGGUGAUGGCCCACCAAGGCGGUGACGGGUAGCCGGCCUGAGAGGGUGGGCGGCCACACUGGGACUGAGACACGGCCCAGACUCCUGCGGGAGGCAGCAGUGGGGGGUAUUGCACAAUGGGCGGAAGCCUGAUGCAGCGACGUCGCGUGAGGGAUGGAGGCCGUCGGGUUGUGAACCUCUUUCUCCGGUGGUGAAGGCCCUGUCCGUUGCGGCGGGGUUGACGGUAGCCGGGUAUGAAGCGCCGGCUAACUACGUG
rnacentral:rRNA from 1 species